UGAGCAAUCUGCCCAUGACACUGGGAUAACGAUUGGAAACAGUCGCUAAUACCGGAUACGACCUCAGCGGACAUCCGCAUGAGGUGGAAAGCUCCGGCGGUCAUGGAUGGGCUCGCGGCCUAUCAGCUUGUUGGUGAGGUAACGGCUCACCAAGGCGUCGACGGGUAGCCGGCCUGAGAGGGCGACCGGCCACACUGGGACUGAGACACGGCCCAGACUCCGUAACGGGG
rnacentral:rRNA from 1 species